CUCUGCCUUUUGUCCGCGGAAACAAACAAACAACAACAACAACAACAAGAAGAAGCCAACAUAACAUGGACUUACCUUUGCCCGCAGCCUAUUGUCUGUCCCUUUUCAAAAUGACAUCACGGAAAGCAAUCAUGAAAUUUACAUUGGGGGGGGCGGCGGCGGAGAGGCGACGUCAGUUCGAGAGAGUUGGAAGGUGGAGAGGUCGGAAACCGGGUUGCUUGCAAAAGGGGGGGGGAGAGUGAUGAUCAGGAGAGAGGGAGGGAAGAAGCACUUGCUAAAUCAGCCCCCACCCCCGUCUCUUUACACCGGGAACAUGCGUGGAAGGAGGAGAUCCAGUUGAAGCACCAACUAGCCUUGAUCUUAGCAUUGUGUGGAAGAAGAGCCAAUAUAAUCUUUUCAUCAGAAGGGUGCCUUGGAGUAAACGUCCUGCGACCUCAGUUGCUUUUAAGUGAAGAUGCAGAGAACUCGCUCCAUGCAAAGGAUGUUCUCUCUUGCAGACCUGCAGUCUCUGCUGAAAAGAAAAGGCACCCUAUAACCCAGGUAGGACUUAUCAGGCGUGUAGUGUUUCUGUGCUUCCUGCAUGCAGACUCCAAACACCCCCUAAUUUCCCUUUUAUUUCCCAUGAACUUUUACAUCUAUGAUUGGAUGGCUGUAAUUAUAAUUUUUGGGUGCAGAAGUUCAAUCCACUGUUCUCCACUCACCUAUUUAACUGAGGCUAGUAGGAGAAUCACCUUCCACUAAUUAGAAAAGGGCUGUUAAGCAAAUUGCCACUUUCUCCCGUUACCCUCAGGACUUUUUUUUGCAGGCUGUUGAUGUACCACAAAUGACUGCUAGAGGUGUGCAGGCAUGGGUGGUAUGAAAACAGGUAGAUGUUUUGAUGUGUGGCUUGCAAGGUUUCAUUGCUGGGUUCGUUCCCCUUGAUGCUGAUGAAGAGAAGCAACAGCUUUUGAUGCUGUCUAAAUUGAUCCAUCCGCUGCAUUGUUUUGAGUUCUUUUUUCCGGCUCUGCUCUGAAUGCAGAUAUUCAGAUUUUCUGGAAAACCCAGCAAAGGCCCAUUUCAAUUGUUGCACCCGCUCUCUUCCCCCGUCCCCUUCUUGCCAGCUCAGCCAUUAACAUAAAAGGAUGUGUUCAGCUGAGAGUGCUCCUAGAAAAAAAAAAUUCUAUCUUCUUUGACCAUGCUGUGAAGACAGGGAUAUUUUACAUCCUAAACCUCUGGCAUUCAGAAAUUCUAUUAAAGCCUUAUCGUCAGGCACCAGGCUUGCUGCUUUAACUGCAUUUCAUUGUUCUGCAUUCAAGAUAGAAUCAAAGGGAGGGAAAAGACAGGAUCAACUUUAUCCCAUGAACAAAGCCGGAUAGUCCCCUUGACUGCUAUUUAAUUCAGAUCCGUAAUGCGCCAACUUACAAAACAAAA
rnacentral:lncRNA from 1 species